rnacentral:rRNA from 1 species
AGUGAACGCUGGCGGUAGGCCUAACACAUGCAAGUCGAACGGCAGCACAGUAAGAGCUUGCUCUUACGGGUGGCGAGUGGCGGACGGGUGAGGAAUACAUCGGAAUCUACUUUUUCGUGGGGGAUAACGUAGGGAAACUUACGCUAAUACCGCAUACGACCUACGGGUGAAAGCAGGGGAUCUUCGGACCUUGCGCGGUUGAAUGAGCCGAUGUGGGAUUAGCUGGUUGGGGGGGUAAAGGCCCACCAAGGCGACGAUCCGUAGCUGGUCUGAGAGGCUGAUCAGCCACCCUGGAACUGGAACACCGUCCAGGCGACUAAGGGAGGGCGCAGUGGGGAAUAUUGGACAAUGGGCGCAAGCCUGAUCCAGCCAUACCGCGUGGGUGAAGAAGGCCUUCGGGUUGUAAAGCCCUUUUGUUGGGAAAGAAGAGCAGCAGGUUAAUACCCCGCUGUUCUGACGGUACCCAAAGAAUAAGCACCGGCUAACUUCGUG